UACGUAGGGUGCAAGCGUUAAUCGGAAUUACUGGGCGUAAAGCGUGCGGAGGCGGUUUUGUAAGUUUGUCGUGAAAGCUCCGGGCUCAACCUGGGAAUGGCGAUGAAGACUGCAAGGCUUGAAUCUGGCAGAGGGGGGUAGAAUUCCACGUGUAGCAGUGAAAUGCGUAGAGAUGUGGAGGAACACCGAUGGCGAAGGCAGCCCCCUGGGUCAAGAUUGACGCUCAUGCACGAAAGCGUGGGGAGCAAACAGG
rnacentral:rRNA from 1 species